rnacentral:rRNA from 1 species
GACGAACGCUGGCGGCGUGCUUAACACAUGCAAGUCGAACGGAAAGGCCCUGCUUUUGUGGGGUGCUCGAGUGGCGAACGGGUGAGUAACACGUGAGUAACCUGCCCUUGCCUUUGGGAUAACUUCAGGAAACUGGGGCUAAUACCGGAUAGGAGCUCCUGCUGCAUGGUGGGGGUUGGAGAGUUCGGGCGGUUGGGGAGGGUCUGGGGGCUUAUCAGCUUGUUGGUGGGGUAGUGGCUUACCAAGGCUGUGACAGGUCGCCGGCCUGAGAGGGUGAACGGCCCCAAUGGGACUGGGAUACGGCCCAGACUCAUACGGGAGGCAGGAGUGGGGAAUAAUGCAGAAUGGGCGGAAGCCUGAUGCAGCAACGCCGCGUGCGGGAUGACGGCCUUCGGGUUGUAAACCGCUUUCGCCUGUGACGAAGCGUGAGUGCGGGAAAUGGGUAAAGAAGCACGGGUAACUUACGG